rnacentral:rRNA from 1 species
GCUGGACGUAUCAGAAGUGCGAAUGCUGACAUGAGUAACGAUAAAGGGGGUGAAAAACCUCCUCGCCGGAAGACCAAGGGUUCCUGUCCAACGUUAAUCGGGGCAGGGUAAGUCGACCCCUAAGGCGAGGCCGAAAGGCGUAGUCGAUGGGAAACGGGUUAAUAUUCCCGUACUUCUUACAAUUGCGAUGGGGGGACGGAGAAGGCUAGGUGGGCCUGGCGACGGUUGUCCAGGUUCAAGUGCGUAGGCUUAAGAGUUAGGUAAAUCCGGCUCUUUUUAAGGCUGAGACACGACGUCGAGCAUCUACGGAUGUGAAGUCAUUGAUGCCAUGCUUCCAGGAAAAGCCUCUAAGCUUCAGAUUGUAAGGAAUCGUACCCCAAACCGACACAGGUGGUCGGGUAGAGAAUACCAAGGCGCUUGAGAGAACUCGGGUGAAGGAACUAGGCAAAAUGGUACCGUAACUUCGGGAGAAGGUACGCUCUCGACGGUGAAGUCCCUCGCGGAUGGAGCUAUUGAGAGUCGCAGAUACCAGGUGGCUGCAACUGUUUAUUAAAAACACAGCACUGUGCAAAAUCGUAAGAUGACGUAUACGGUGUGACGCCUGCCCGGUGCCGGAAGGUUAAUUGAUGGGGUUAGACUUCGGUCGAAGCUCUUGAUCGAAGCCCCGGUAAACGGCGGCCGUAACUAUAACGGUCCUAAGGUAGCGAAAUUCCUUGUCGGGUAAGUUCCGACCUGCACGAAUGGCGUAAUGAUGGCCACGCUGUCUCCACCCGAGACUCAGUGAAAUUGAAAUCGCUGUGAAGAUGCAGUGUACCCGCGGCUAGACGGAAAGACCCCG